UGUUUAACCCCGGCAAGCAUUAUCGGCGCGCGUUUUGAUUAAACCCCGUCAAGACCAAACAGUUUUCUUUAAAUAUUUCUUCAUUAAAUUUUUUUUCCAACAGAAACCUUUUUUCACUACGGGGGGUUGCUCCAUAAGCCUUUCUCCAUUAAAUUAUUCCCUAUUGCUGCCUCCCGUAGGGGUCCCCCCUCCCCCCCCGCCCGGGGCGCGCCCCGGGCGGGGCGGGGGCACGGGGGGACUCCUACGGGAGGCAGCAGUAGGGAAUCUUCCACAAUGGACGAGUCUGAUGGAGCAACGCCGCGUGAGUGAAGAAGGGUUUCGGCUCGUCUCUGUUGUUAGAAGAACAUAUCUGAGAGUAACUGUUCAGGUAUGACGGUAUAACCAGAGCACGAUUCCGG
rnacentral:rRNA from 1 species